rnacentral:rRNA from 1 species
UACGUAGGGUGCGAGCGUUAAUCGGAAUUACUGGGCGUAAGGCGUGCGCAGGCGGUUUUGUAAGCCAGAUGUGAAAUCCCCGGGCUUAACCUGGGAAUGGCAUUUGGGACUGCAAGGCUUGAGUGCGGCAGAGGAGACUGGAAUUCCUGGUGUAGCAGUGAAAUGCGUAGAUAUCAGGAGGAAUACCGAUGGCGAAGGCAGGUCUCUGGGCUGACACUGACGCUCAUGCACGAAAGCGUGGGGAGCAAACAGG